AAGUCGUAACAAGGUUUCCGUAGGUGAACCUGCGGAAGGAUCAUUAACACGUAUCCAACGUUAAACACCCUGUGAACUUUCAACCUCUGUCCAUCAGGCUACAAUCGAGCUAGGAGCAGUGGCAUGGUUUCCCUAAGCAGCGCAGAAGGAUCCACGGAGUAAGGAUAACGCCUCACGGUUGCCAGAGGUCGAUCACCGGCCGGCAGACAUGUCACAGGGCUAUAUGCCCCCUCAUUCACACCUUGCCCUAUCUGGCCCCACGGAAACGUUGGGGCACAAACCGAACAACUGUUAACAAUGGAUAUCUUGGUUCUC
rnacentral:misc_RNA from 1 species